CGCCAACCAGCUAGCCCAACCAAGCAAGACCAACAACCCAACAUAAAUAAACCCACACGCACUUCCCCCCACCCGCAACAAAACAUUUUUCCCCCUUAGUAUGGGCGACAGAAAAGGGAUCCAAGGAGCAAUAGAGAAAGUACCGCAAGGGAAAGCUGAAAGAGAAGUGAAACAACUCAGUUAAGCCUAAAAAAGCAGAGACUCAUCCUCGUACCUUUUGCAUCAUGAUUUAGCCAGUAUUACCCAAGCGAAGAGCACUUUAGUUUGGGCCCCCGAAACUACGUGAGCUACUCCAAGACAGCCUAGUCAAUAGGGCAAACCCGUCUCUGUGGCAAAAGAGUGGGAAGAGCUUUGAGUAGAGAUGACAGAUCUACCGAACCUAGUUAUAGCUGGUUGCCUGAGAAUUGGAUAGAAGUUCAGCCUCCAGGUUUCUCUACUCACCGCGGUCUUACCCCAGCCGACACCCAAAGAAAUCUAGAGAGUUAGUCGAAGGGGGUACAGCCCCUUUGAGCCAAGAUACAACUUUCCCAGGAGGGUAAAGAUCAUAAUCGAUUAAGGCGACAAUGCCCGGGUGGGCCUAAAAGCAGCCAUCCCUACAGAAAGCGUUAAAGCUUAAGCAUUAGCCCUCAACCACAUAUUCCGAUCAACCAAUCCCAGCCCCCUAACAUUAUCAGGCCUUCUCAUGCGGACAUGAGAGCGCACAUGCUAAUAUGAGUAAUAAGAGAGUACCCCUCUCUCCUUGCACACGUGUAAAUCGGAACGAACCCCCACCGAAACUUAACGGCCCCAACCAAAGAGGGUAAUGAACAACAAAAAGAUAACCAGAAAAUCAUCCAAAAAGUAACCGUUAAUCCCACACUGGUGUGCACUUAAGGAAAGACUAAGAGAAAAAGAAGGAACUCGGCAAACAUUUUUAGGCCUCGCCUGUUUACCAAAAACAUCGCCUCUUGCAAAUGAAGAAUAAGAGGUCCCGCCUGCCCUGUGACUAAAUGUUUAACGGCCGCGGUAUUUUAACCGUGCGAAGGUAGCGCAAUCACUUGUCUCUUAAAUGGGGACCUGUAUGAAUGGCAUAACGAGGGCUCAACUGUCUCCUUUUUCCGGUCAAUGAAAUUGAUCUCCCCGUGCAGAAGCGGGGAUAAAAACAUAAGACGAGAAGACCCUAUGGAGCUUUAGACACCAAGGCAUAUCAUGUUAAACACCCCCGGAUAAGGGCCUGAACCAAAUGUCCCAUGCCCCUAUGUCUUAGGUUGGGGCGACCCCGAGGAAAUAAAAAACCCCCGAGUGGAAUGGGAGUAUUAACUCCUACAACCAAGAGCUGCAGCUCUAAUUAACAGAAUUUCUGACCAAAAAAGAUCCGGCACAGCCGAUCAACGGACCAAGUUACCCUAGGGAUAACAGCGCAAUCCCCUUUUAGAGCCCAUAUCGACAAGGGGGUUUACGACCUCGAUGUUGGAUCAGGACAUCCUAAUGGUGCAGCCGCUAUUAAGGGUUCGUUUGUUCAACGAUUAAAGUCCUACGUGAUCUGAGUUCAGACCGGAGUAAUCCAGGUCAGUUUCUAUCUAUGACAUGCUCUUUUCUAGUACGAAAGGACCGAAAAGAGGAGGCCAAUGCUAGAAGCACGCCUCACCCCUCCUAGUGAAAACAACUAAAAUAGGCAAAAGGGCAUACCCCUACAAGCCAAAGAUAAUGGCAU
rnacentral:rRNA from 1 species